CAGUAGCCGCGGGAAUACAGAGGGUGCGAGCGUUAAUCGGAUUUACUGGGCGUAAAGCGUGCGUAGGCGGCUUCUUAAGUCGGAUGUGAAAUCCCUGAGCUUAACUUAGGAAUUGCAUUCGAUACUGGGAAGCUAGAGUAUGGGAGAGGAUGGUAGAAUUCCAGGUGUAGCGGUGAAAUGCGUAGAGAUCUGGAGGAAUACCGAUGGCGAAGGCAGCCAUCUGGCCUAAUACUGACGCUGAGGUACGAAAGCAUGGGGAGCAAACAGGAUUAGAUACCCGCGUAGUCCCUGUCUCUUAUAC
rnacentral:rRNA from 1 species